GUGGUUUGUUAGGCAGCAGUCAAUCAUUUGUUCUUAUGACAGGCAUUUGUUUGCUGGUUAGAUUGGAUGUAACCUGGGAUCACAUCAUCAUACAUACACAAUGUCAGAAAUGUGCCCAACAACAGGCACUUGGUCAUUUGGACUUAAUAAACCCAGCUUCAGAGAAUCCCUGUUUCCCAGUCACUGUCUCUCAACUUUCCUACACUGCCACCAAGUAUGAGCUAGCAUCUAUCCCUCUCACAUUCCUCACCCCUUUAAUUAAUCCCCUGUUUUUCAUGUAUCUCAUAAGUUUAUGGUAUAUUUCCUAGGACCUGAAAACAUAACCAACUGUCUUUCAUCUUAAAAAAAAAAAAUGCCCCUUUCCCUCAACCCAUUCAAGUGUCCACCUUAGAUUUCCAUACCAUCUCUUUCUCCUCUUUCUAGUCAAGUUUUUCCAAAGAGCUGUCUUCAUUUUCCCAUUUCCUAUUCACUCCUCUCUCUAUUUAUUAUGACCUGGCUUUAGAAUGGUCUCCCGCCAGCAUCACAGAGGAGCUCCACAUCACCUAACCAGAUGGAUUCACCCCUGCCUUGACCUCUCAGACACAACACCAGCAACAUGGCCACUCCUAGUGCCUUAAAACUAUCUCCCUUUUUAUGCUUCCCACCACACUCUGCUUUCUCCUUCCCACUCUGAUUGUCCCUUCUCUGUUCCCUUCCUGGCCUCCUAAGCACCUCAGCCAGCCUCUUAGGCACCAGUGUCCCCAGGGGUCUUCAGUGCUCCUCUUCUCAUCCCGGUCUACCUGCUCUGCUUUCAAGUUUGCAGGCUCUCUCAAGCUUUUACUUAAAGGUUUUCCUAAAGUCUCACUCUGUCACCCAGGCUGGAGUGCAGUGGCAUGAUCUCAGCUCACUGCAACCUCCGCCUCCUGGGUUCAAGCAAUUCUUGUGCCUCAGCCUCCUGACUAGCUGGGAUUACAGGCACAAUCCAGACAAGACAUCUCAGCACUGCUUCCAGACCUCUGCUUGAAGGUGGGAUUCUUCAGUCUCCUGGACAUUCUUAGAGUCUGGCUUUACACCAGCUCUCCUUUGCACAAUGGCAACACCAGCAGUAUCUGCCCAUGUGCAAGAGAGUCCCCACAACAGCCCAAUAGAGAAAUGGAGGAGUUUGCAGGUCCAUGUGACACUCUGUCACAAUUGUCUUUUACCACUUAGGAUGAUGUAAUCACUGUUCUCUAGCUCUCUUUUUUUUUUUUUUGAGACAGUCUCACUGUCACCCAGGCCGGAGUGCAGUGGUGUGAUCUUGGCUCACUGCAACCUCCACCUCCCAGGUUCAAGUGAUUCUCCUGCCUCAGCCUCCUGAGUAGCUGGGAUUCCACCUAGUACAUCUCCAGCCUACAGAGACAGGAGUCUCGCUCUGUCGCCCAGGCUGGAGUGCAGUGGUGCGAUCUCAGCUCACUGCAACCUCCACUUCCCCAGUUCCAGGUUGAAGCAAUUCUCCAGCCUCAGCCUCCCAGGUAGCUGGGAUUACAGGCCAUAGUCUGCUUUAAGAAUAAUAAUAAUAAUAAUAA